AUUGAACGCUGGCGGCAGGCCUAAUACAUGCAAGCCGGGCGAGCGGCGGACGGGUGAGUAAUGUAUGGGGAUCUGCCUGAUGGAGGGGGAUAACUACUGGAAACGGUAGCUAAUACCGCAUACCAUCCGUUCAACCCAUAGGGGAUUAUGUUGUAGGUGAGGUAAAGGCGCACCUAGGCGACGAUCCCUAGCUGGUCUGAGAGGAUGAUCAGCCACACUGGGACUGAGACACGGCCCAGACUCCGACGGGAGGCAGCAGUGGGGAAUAUUGCACAAUGGGCGCAAGCCUGAUGCAGCCAUGCCGCGUGUAUGAAGAAGGCCUUCGGGUUGUAAAGUACUUUUAGUCGGGAGGCGUUACCGACAGAAGAAGCACCGGCUAACUCCGUGCCAGCAGCCGCGGUAAUAC
rnacentral:rRNA from 1 species